CACAAAGCUUAUAGCUAGCUAAAAUGGCUUCCAAGUCUCUGGCCUUCGUGUGCGUCAUCUUCGCCUUCCUCGUCAUCGUCUCGCAAGGCGUGGUUGCUGCUAGGGAUCUCACACAUGGUAAUGUUUCUUCCCCUGAAUUAAUAUCUACCUUGUUUAUUUGUAUUUCCGUGUUCUUUCUGUGGCAACUACAGAGGAGCUUGAUUGUAUGGCUAAGAUUGGGUUGGGUGUGCUGUAAAUUCUCCAUGGAGGCAGUAAAUCUACAUGCCAUGGUUAUUUCUAAUGAUGUUGCCCUGCCAUGGUUGCAGUUAACAGAGCAGGAGGUAACAAUUACGGUGGUGGCUGGUCGGGCUCCUACGGAGGACGACGCCCGUGACGGAUGCUCUUCGUAAGAAUCUAGCAAAUAAAUGCAGUUCCGGUUUGCUUUUGCAGAUCAUUCAUGUGUAUGGUAUAGUAUAUAGUUUCUGUGUACAAGCUAGCUAGGUAUGUAUGUGCCCUGUCCCCUGUGUACUCAAGAUGAACUUGAAUGAAAUGUAUCGACUGUUCUGGUGGUUAACGAUCAUUUCCCGAUGAAGGGGCUGCACCGAGCCUGU
rnacentral:lncRNA from 1 species